AUUUAAGUGAAAGGUCUGAUGUGAAAAAAGUGCAAGCAACUUGGACAUGCCAAAACUUGAUGUCUCUGUAUCAUAUCAAAACUGUACAGGUGUUCUGCAUAUGAUACCUUCAGGAAAACCUGCCUGGGGACAUCACUGAGCACAGACAGAGAAUGAGAACAAUGGCAGACAGAAAAGGAAGGCGGUUUUGAUCGUGUGUAGACAAAACAAUCUGACUGCAGAUCAUUAAGGAAGGGGCUGCAGGAAAGGAUGGGCCAGUGCCAGCUGCUUGUUUUCUCCUGCACGGCCAUUCCAUUUGGAGCUGAUGUAUCACGAAUAAUGGAUCUUUACUAGGCCCACAUCAACGACAGGUGAGGUAGCAUACAGUUAGAUUAACUAUGAUCAAAGACAUGAUUUAAGUCUAGAUGACUGGAAUCCCAAGUGAGUGAAUCAUUCUAGAGCAACUGAGAAAGGUUUGCUGUGAACCUGUUUAAGCACCAUGAAAAUGUUGUGUUGCUUGGGAAAGGCAGCAGGUGUUGUGUAGAACAGAAAUCCUUCACUCCGUUGCAGCAGACUCUCAGACACCUGCUCAAAUACAUUUCAGUAUUAACUAGGACUGUUGUGGGAAAUUGGAAAGCUUAGGCUUUCCACCCAUUCAGUUUGCCCCUGCAUCAGGGAUUUGAGUUCAGUCCCAGUCCGUAGUGACUAAAAAGUCAUACCACCUGUCAGUGGCAUGCGUGUAAUUGUGUCAUAAAACGAGAGAAAAAUAGAGCAGAAAGGGAACUUUAAACUUCAUUUGUUUCAAACUCCCUACCACCUACUCAAGGCAGCAUCAUCUAUACCGUUAAAGGCGAGUAUUUGACUAACCAAUACUUAACAGACAUACAAAAAUGAGAGGUUUUGACCACUAGCUGGUGUUUGGCUACUAUCUUUUCUAAGUACAGAAGCAAAACAAGAGCAUUUAAACUGACCACCAUGCAAUUCUACUUUUUUCACAACUGUGACAUAAAGAGGCAGAUGCAGAAAUCUUUGAAAGUUUGUAAAAACAUUAUUUUCUUGGUUGAGUUCUCAUGAAACCUGGUCCAAAGCUCAGUGAAGUCAGUGUAAAGAUUCUCCAUGACUUCAAUGAGCAUUGGACCAAGCCUGGAGACAGUAUGUGUCUACAGGAAUAUUUGUGCAGCAGUUAAGUUCCCUGAAAAGGGAAGUUUGCUAUGAAAAUGGAGACAGUCACUAACUUAAAUUUUGUUCAAAGUCCACUGACAGCACCGGAAAUAGCCUUAUUGAAUCCUCAGAACAUCCUUCUGAUAUAAAAUACACAAUUAUGGUCAAGACACGGGACUAGGAAUUGUGAGAUUUAAGUUCUAUUCUUGUCCAUGUGACAGAUGUGCUGUUGUGAUCGUACACAAGCUGUGUCACCAUACAGUGCUUCAGUUGAUCCUUCUGUAAAAUGGGGAUAAUAUUAUAUUGCCUACUGCAAAGAAGUGUUGAGAGGAAUGAGUCAUUUUAAACUGUUUGAGAUUUUCUGACAACAGAUUUUAGGGAAGUACACAGUAUUAUUGUUGCAGCAAUUACCACGGGAAUGUGCCUGUGAAAAAUUAACCUGAAAUUAUUUGAUACAUUAAUGAUUUUACAAAUCCCUAGCAACUCCACUGGCGCCAAUGGAGUUACCCCAAAUCAGUACAUGGCAGAAUCUGGCUCUAAGCAAAGACAAGCAUAUACAAUAACUUGUGGAGGAGAGAUAAAACUUGUAUUAUGAGCAGCUUCUGAAAAUCACCAGUUUUGUUUCCAUUCCUUUUGCUAAACCACAGCAAAAACAAACAAUGUUUCAUUAUUAAUUGAAUAAUGUAAAAACAUAAGUGGUUGUAAUAAAUGUAAUGAGAAGAAACUGCAAUGAGAAAACGUGGUACAAUUAUUACAAGUGUGUGUGUGUAUGUGUGUGUGCGCGCAAACGCACACAUGCAU